CACUGGCAGUACACCGACGCAGCGUUCCUGCACAUCAACACCAACAAGUCGUCAUGCAUCGUCGUGCUGGCACGUCAAUGCCGUCAAUCGCCAUCCUCGUCUACACUAAAGAUCCGAGAAGAUUAGACGCGGAGGAAAACAAAUUAGUACGUGGCGGGAAAAUUCUCGAUAUGGAAGAAGAAGUGUGAUUCGAUGCGACACUCACCGUGUAUUCAGGGGAAAAGUUAGAGCUGAAAGACAUCGUCCAUUUCACGAUUUCAAGCCGGAUUUAAUUAUGGUAAGCUAAUUCGUCACUUCCAAUAAUUGGUUUAAUGGAUAGAUUGCUAGGUACGUAUAUCACGACGAUUAUCCCACUUGUAGCUCGGGCACGUAUUUAUUUGACGCCUGUUGGAAUACAGGGCUACAUGUAGCGGGAUAAUUGUGUCCACAAUUGCGAAGUCGUCCGGUCAGGUAGUUUAGAAUGUUGACGUGCUUCUGUUUUUGUUUUAAGACUCAAAUGUCUUAGACUAAUGAAUUUAGAAUUAUUAAGUUUUUGGUGUCGAACUUUAAUUAAGGCAAGUAAAGCGUGAAUAUAUAUACUAUUGUUUGGUGAUAUAUGAAAUACCUUUGAAUAGGCUAGAUAAGUAUAAUUAUUGCACGUAGUCGUAUGUUAAUAACUAGUAUUUCCGUAUAAAAUUGAACAACGCCUCGUCGCUAGGUGUUUAAUUCGCUAUCGCGUAGCACUAUUUAGGUUUAUAAUAUUCUUGUCGAUAUGCAUUCAUGUGCAUAAUACAUUUCAUUCAGGUACGUUAAUUAAUCACGUGAUGCGGAAGACAAGCCAAGUCGACCCCAAGAGCGGGCUAAUCUGCAAGCUGAAGCUGAUGAAUCAACCUGAAGAUGGUUAAAUCAAGCAAGUGCUCGGUCGAAGCAUACUCGUCAAGCGGACGUCACCUAACAACACUAACCUAGUGUUACUCAGGCAAGCCCCGGUGCAUUUGCCAUCCUCCUUGAUGUUUUUAAAAUCUUUCUCACUUGCUUGAUGCAUUAGGUGAUAGGAGUUGAUUGAUAAAACAAUUCCUGCAUUACCUUCCUUGAAUUUGAUUACCUUCCUUGAUCACCCGUUUUACAAAAGAUUUUGAUGCUUAGCCUUGCUCUAGAAAAACAAAAUGAUUUGUUUUUACAAAAUGAUGAUAUGGCAAAAAGUGGGUGGGAUGUUUUCGAAAAUAAAAUGUGAUGGUGGAUCCAUCAGGGCCUUGAUGGGUUCAACAUCAGAAAAGAUGUACCUCUGCCAGGUACCAAGCUUUGGGUUUUAAAUGAUUAAGAUGAGACCGGGCGGGUGACUUGCACGAGAAAGGAGUCUCGGUGUAGUGUCUCCGUCUGAGUCGAUUAAGGACCGUCUCGAUGUAGGCUUGAUGACCGAGGACCCUUUAACUGGUCACAUGCCUCGUCAUGGGUAAGCCUUGCCUCGGGUAGACUAAGGCCAGAAUAAGAUAACACGGAAUGGGCGUGGAGCGGUGGCGAGAGUAGCGUGUACCCUCCGUAGCAAGAGGCUGGACGGUGGUGUAUCUGUGCUCUCGGUUCGCGUGAACCUGAUCUGGUCUUAAGAACCCCGGUGGCGGGUUGACAUAUGCAAGGGUUAAGUGCUACAUAUGUCGUGUGAUUGGAGAUCCUCAGCUGAGUAUAAUCGAUUCGGAUCGUCGUACCUUCGCGGUUAUGAAGACUUGGUCACUAACUUACACGUAGAACUCUAGUGAAGAUGACGGGUGGAUAAAGAAAUUGGCUAGUGCAGGUCAAGUGCUUGAACUAGGGUAGACAGAACUCUAGAUGCAGGUAAUUUUACUUAACCUGACAAUAAAAAUGGAUUUUUAAGGAUUCACUCAUAGUAAGCUUUUCUGCAAAAUAGAGUCCUUGAUCAUUGAGAAACCUUUCCUUGAAUCCCUCUAGCCAGCAUACCCUUGAGAGUCUUUUCUUUAGUCGGGUAAGUCUUGCUGAGUAAUUCCGUACUCAGGGUUUUUUUCCCUGUUGUUUUUCAGGUUCUAACCUUGUGCUGCUGUGAUGGUGUUAAGUGCCGGUGGGCUCGGCCUUCUUAUAAGUCUAAGUAACCCUUCUAUACUUCUUAUUGAGGAUGGUCACUUGAGCUAGCAUAUAUUCAAACUUAUACUUUUGUAAUCACUCCAAUAAAAUAAUAUAAAAUUUUUAUAACUUGUAAAAUUUGGUAAUAAUAUUUCCGCUGCAAGAAUGUUGGUGUGUGAUUUGUGUUACUUAAUCCCGCGAUUCUGGUUGAAAGUGGUUUAUCCGAUGUCCUUGGGGCAAUCGGACAGAUCCUGUUAAGUUAUCUGGUGCACAUGCAUAGCCGUCUGAGGUCUUUGGGACAAGGACAGGUGCAUGUGGGCCCAAUAACUUGGAGGUUCUGCCACAGGCUGGUAUCGGAGCAGGAUUAAGUAUAUACGGUCACAUACGUAUUUUCAAAACAAAAGUUUUGGUUUUAGAAAACCUACUUUCAACUAAAUACAUUGUUUGGUUUUGAAAAACAGUUUUGAAAAACUAUAAUGCUAGCGACAUCCUCUAUUAAGCACUAAGUUAAGGACUAUCAGGUGGCUUAGUUCAAAACCACUAACCCACAACCGGGGGUAUUGCAUACAUGUGUAUUGUUAUUUUUGAGGCUAUUCAGUUUUGAAUGGAUCGACGCUCAGGUAAGGUGAGUUGUGAGAGCAUGACCGAACAACCGUCGGUCUAGGGGAGUGUUUAAAAGUGGCAUCCGAUUAUAUACAUGUUCUACAUAUGUAUAUAUGAAGGCUGCGAUGUGGAGUAAUUACUUUUCUGGGAAUUCAGUACCCCAUGGAUGUGUAUGGGUAUACAGACAUGGGAAUACUAAGAAGUGUAAUGUACUUGCAACGACGCAUCUACGCUCAGGUAAGAAGGUGAGUUACCAUAAUGAGUUGCCCUAUGGUUAAAGUGUGGCAACGGCGCCUAUGCGUGGCUCGACGCUUAAUGAUGAGCUGGCCUCCAUAUAGCAAUAUAUGGAGUAUAAACUGUGAUAAACUGUCAUGUGUGAACUGCAUCAUUGGGAAAUUGGGCUGUGAUGGAUUUUCUGCAGGUACACUAACCUCGAAAACGUAUGUGUAGCUGACGACUAGAAAAAUACCGUGAGAGUCGUAAGUAUGCCACCGAGAUAGAACGCUAUUGCCACAUGUGUUGGCAAAAUUUGUGAGGACGUAUAGGACGAGCAUGCAUUCUGAUUGUUGCAUCAUGUUUGUCACCUAUACACCCAAGAUGCUUCUGUCGUCUUUAUUCCAGAAACCAUUGAUUAUAGAUAAUAUGGUGUAAUGCUGAAUUAUGAACUUCGAUGAAAUAGGUGUCCUCCAUUCUUAGGUAAUCUAUUUAGGUAUUAUAUGUAUUUAUCCUGGUACUUGAUGUAUCGAUAGAAGGUUGGUAGUUUGUCUGCUUAAACCGAAAACUAGGUCAUAUUCUUAGUUAGUGAACUAUGACCCAAAUUUGAAUUCUCCCUUAUCGCAUUGUCGACCCAUUGACCUAACCCAGAAAAGACCUGCCCGAGUAUUUUCUUGAAAUUGAUGCCUUUGGUUUCCCCCUAUCUAUCGGAGGCAUAUCAACUUAAUCUUUGGCCUUGUAAUCUCUACGAUGUGCAUAGAAAUAUGCUUGUGGCUAAAUUAACAGUCUCCCAUCGUAUUCCCUCACCAACCAAGUUAGGUUAUGGCCAUGCCUUGUUCAUUUCAUCGGGCCAUGAUCUAUUUGGUUCUCUACUUGUAACCCUAUUUACUGGUGGAGUAUCUCUUUGUAUAUUGUCACCCUUGCUCAAUCUUUUGAUGUCGUGCGAGAUUUCUUAUUGGUUACGUCUGGUAAUGGUGUUAUGACUAAAACCGAUGGCACCGCGCUGAAACCGAGGGCCUCCUAUGGGUGAUCAGCACAUGGUUGCGCUACUUGGCACGCGCUGGUAUCAUAGUUGAUAGUCAUAAUCCAUUAUGAGAAUAUAUCAAUAUGUUAUCUCUCCACAAAUUGUUCUUACCAUGUGAGAUUCAUUAUGGGUGCCAGUUUUGUAAUGGUGUCAUGGUUAUGAACUUAUGGUACCGCGGCGAAACUGAGAGCCUCCUGUGAAUGUGCACACAGGAUUUUGCUGCUUGGCACAUGCGGGUAUCGAGGUCUCUGGUCAUGAUCCAUUGUGGAACUACACGGAUGUGUGAUCUUCCGUAAACAUUUCCCUUGAAACAAUUUCUAUGUUGUUUGUCAAGUGAUCAAGCAACAUCAACCAUCUCUGUUGGAUCAAAAGGGCAUACCACUUUCAUGUGUGGUCUUAUUUCUUUUGAUCUUGGUAAUGCCUACUCAUAAAAGUUCCCUUUACAUCCUUUGUGUAAAGGUGAAGCCUUGGAGCUUUUUAGUGUCAAGAGACCACUGAUUAGCUCUUAAAAUGGAGAUUGGAUUUCCCCUACUGCUGAAAUGCAGGAGUUUGUUCAUUCGCUCUCUUAUUUGAUCCAUGUAUUCCCUAACCAAGUGGAUAAUUCAUCUCGCAUGAAGAAACGGAUGAACAACAUGACCAAAUGGAUUUUUACCCAAAUGCAUGACCUUUUGCUAGCAAAUGUGAACUCUCAACCCUUGGCUUACCGAUGGUAUUGAGAGGACUUGCUCAAUAUCAAAAGUAAUUCAACAAGUUAGUUUUGACUAACUUGUAACUGCCCAAUGAACAAAGAUUGAGUUUAGAGAUCGUUUUAUCGAUUUGCCUGAACUCACUUUGGUUCAACCCAUCCUGAGAAAGUACUUACAAGAAUCGAGAUUAAGUCGGCCAGUAACCGCCUAAUUAUCGCUCUAGUCAUGCCUCGAUUGCCUCACAUAUGCUCUUCUAGUGUAUGUGAUCAUGUCGAAUCAUGUCUAGUGCUUGAUAAAAUGGAUUGGUUGCGAAGUCAACACCAACAGAUCUCUUCGUUGAUAUUUUCCGUGUCUUUAUCAUUUUUCUUGGACUUGGAUUCUCUGACUAACACGAGUUGACUGUGAUGUUGUUCGACAUCCGCACUUGUCACGUGUGCUAUGAGCUUACCGUAACCACUUGUUGGUAAACCUCUUUCUGUGUGUUUUACCCAAGAUGGUGCAUCUGAUUCUGUUUGGGUAAAAUGGAGUAUUUUCCGCUCGCUCAACAGACUCAGAUAGUACAGUGUCAUCAGAAAAGGCAAACUGCACACAUGGAACCUUAUGUGUUCUUCUGGCAGACAGCGUCUCUAUUGGUGGAUAUUUCUAAAUUAGCCUAAGGUGAUACUUGUUAUGUCCACUAGAUAAACCAUAUUCUGAGACACUCGUCUUCGCUUGAGACUGCCUUGUGAUUACCGCUGAUAUGGACUGGGUUACAUACUUCUCUACCCUUAGAAGUCUUUCGCUCCGAAUCUCGGGACGAGAUUCUUUUAAGGGGGGAGGGCUGUAACACCCCAGGUAUUUAUAUUCCGCUCGACAACGAGUACAGAUUUAAGCACGCAAUAUCAGUGGAUAAAACGAAUUUUAAAUUUUAAUCAUCCUCGCGUAUCGCGAUUUUAAUAUCGCAUCUGUUUCGUUUGUCGCGAAUGCGACAUUGUUUUUAUUAAAUUUAUCCGAGCUCUUCCGAAAUUUUCGUGUUAUUCGGAACGUAGUCGUUCUGAACAUCGGUGCGUUCGAUGUUUAUUUAAAAUUCAUCGCUCGCAUAAAUGCGAAUUCGGAAGCCCGACUAACUCGGACGAUUUUUAUCCUGAACAAAUUAAUUUGAACUCGACGAUUAAAAUGUUCGGGGUCAAAAUAAUUAGAAUCGUGUGAAAUAUUACGCGAGGUUAUAAUUCCAUUCAUACUUCAGCACGCUGUUGGGGCGACGAAAACGAGUGUACAUUAGCGGAUCGGGUUUCGGCUAAUUUCGGUCGAAUCACGCAGAACAAAUUAUCAGUGCCGAAAUCAGUUCAUUUCGGUCUGUCGCUUCUCGCCCGGAUCCAAAUCUUCGAAUAUACGCAAUUAUUAAAUAGUUUAAUUCGCCAAAUCCGGAGAAUGAAAUGUGUAUUCGUGUAGCUUGUCGACCCGUGCACAACGCUAAAAAUCUGGAUUUAGAAAUAUCUACGCUUUCCUUUUUUUUAAAAAAAAUAAAAAGAUCAAACAAAAAAGAAAAAUCUUCACGGUGCUCUCUCUCUCCUUAUUAAACUGCACGGUACGCUGAUUUUUCUCUCCUAGCGUCACCGUUCUUAUCUGUUCCAGCCGCAGCCUUGAUGUUUUCUACCGUGUGUGCCUGUCUUCUUUCCUGGGAGAAAAAUCACGCUGCUCCAUUCUCUGGUUUCUUCCAGCCACUCACCGCCGGUGAGAUCGCAGCCGUCGUUCUUAUCUUCUUGCGCCGCUCCUCUAUUGCCGCUUAAGCAUUGGAUAAAAUCCUGCGCGCCGAGGUUCUUCCUUAUGGCGCUCGGCCUCUUCCCAGCGCUACCGGCCAUCCCUCUGCUCGCCCUCGCUCCCUCUGUUGGCUCAGACCGCGCCCCCUUCUCGGCCCCAUCUCCAUGGCGUCCGGCCGGAUCUCCAGUGCCGCGCCGGCUUGGAGCUUCCAUGGCCGCAUCUCUUUUUCCCUGUGAUUUCAUGACGUCCCUGCGUCGCAUAUUCCCCGAGCUCGUCGCCAUGGCUGCACCCAGCAGCUCCCUGCCGCGCCCAGCUCUUCGCCCUUUUCCCUAUGGCGCGUCUCCCGGCCCUGGCUCAACGAUCUGCGUUCUCCCUGCUCUCCCAAGCAACGCGUCGUGGAGCUCCUCCUUGCGCGCGCCCAGUCAGCGCCUGUGCGCUGCGGUUUCCUCUUCAUCUUCCUCAAGCUCGCCGAGCGGUUCUUCCCCCAGCACAUCUCCCUGCCCAAUCGCCCCAUUUCCUCAUCUCCCUCGAGCUCGCCCCUGCCUCAGCUUGGACUGCGCUGCUCGGCUCUAGUGAAAGAAGAUCCCUCUGCCCAGCCGCUCCUUGCUCCCUGCACGCCGGAGCUCGCCCAGCUCGGCCUCCUCCCCACGCGCGUCCUUGGUUUCUUGCUCGCCCAGCCGUUUCUCCCUGCAAGCUUCGGCUCCCUGCGCGUCUGCUCCAGCUCGGCCAUGGCCGUCGCAGCCAAGUCCCUUUCCCCCAGCCGGCUUUUCUGCGCGCGAAGUUCCUUUGGCUGCGCCCUCCCUUUCUCUUCCAGCUCGCGCAGGUCUGCUGCUCAUCUCCCAUGGUGGUUGGUCGCUGCGGCGCAGCUUCCUGGUGCCGCGACCCCCGCCGUGAUCUCCUCUACCGCGCCGAAUUGCGCAGCGCCGUUGACGCCUGCCGAUUGUUCGAUACUUUGCGCGGCUAGUCGCGGUCAUACACAGCAGUGCCUGCUCCCAGCUCCGCGCCCCAGUCCCUAGUGCCCGACCGUCGUCGCCACCGGCAGUACGCCGACGCAGCGUUCCUGCACAUCAACACCAACAAGUCGUCAUGCAUCGUCAUGCUGGCACGUCAAUGCCGUCAAUCGCCAUCCUCGUCUACACUAAAGAUCCGAGAAGAUUAGACGCGGAGGAAAACAAAUUAGUACGUGGCGGGAAAAUUCUCGAUGUGGAAGAAGAAGUGUGAUUCGAUGCGACACUCACCGUGUAUUCAGGGGAAAAGUUAGAGCUGAAAGACAUCGUCCAUUUCACGAUUUCAAGCCGGAUUUAAUUAUGGUAAGCUAAUUCUCCACUUCCAAUAAUUGGUUUAAUGGAUAGAUUGCUAGGUACGUAUAUCACGACGAUUAUCCCACUU
rnacentral:lncRNA from 1 species